rnacentral:rRNA from 1 species
UACAGAGGGUGCGAGCGUUGUCCGGAAUCACUGGGCGUAAAGGGCGCGUAGGCGGCCUGAUAAGUAGGGGGUGAAAUCUUGCGGCUCAACCGCAAGGCUGCCUUCUAAACUGUCAGGCUGGAGCACGGUAGAGGCAGAUGGAAUUCCCGGUGUAGCGGUGGAAUGCGUAGAGAUCGGGAAGAACACCAGUGGCGAAGGCGGUCUGCUGGGCCGUUGCUGACGCUGAGGCGCGACAGCGUGGGGAGCAAACAGG